CUCAAAGACAGCUGCACUGCCUGGAUCGCACCCGGCCUGAAUCAGAAAGUCAGGCGAGACAGGCAGAGAAGAAAUGUUAGAUAUGCAGCCUGCUUGUUGCCUGUGCAGCUCAUUCUCAAAUGCAGCUUGGCUGAGCACCAGUGCAGCUUAGGUGGAAUGUUGCUUCUCAGGACUGGGAGACAUAGUAAGUAGAUUAACGCUCAUGAUGUGGUAUCCUUGACAUUGGAGAGACCAAUCGCAGACUCGAUGACCGCUUUAAGGGACACCCUCAUUUAAUCCACAAGCAUGACCCUGAGCUUCCCGUGACUUAUCAUGUCAGAUCUCCACCUUGCUCCCACACUGACCUUUCUUUCCUUCACCUGCUGCAGUCUUACAAUGAAGUUCAAUGCAAGCUCAAGGAACAGUGCCUCAUCUUUCAACUAGGCCCUUUACAGUCUUCUGGACUCAACAUUAAGUUCAACAGUUUUAGAUCAUAACCUCUGCCUGCAUUUUGUUUAACUUUGUUCUUUAUUCAUUCACUUUGCAUUGAGCUGGCUGCCAUCCAGCCAUUAACAUCCAAUCUGAACACACCUUGUGUUUCUUUGCUUUCACCAUUACUACACAACCUUUUGUCAUUUAACUUCUCCUACUGUCCACUCUAUCCCAGACCUUCCCUUAUGUUCUUCCCCCUGCCACCCUGACUUUCACUUGAUCAAAACCUAUUACAUUUCUACCUUUGCUCAUUUCUAAUGAAGGAUCAUUGUCAACCCAAAGUAUUAACUCUGUUUCUCUCCACAAAUG